AUGACAGAUUUGGCUCAUCAUCAUUUCACAAAUGUCUUCGGCACCGAACGACGCACUUCUUCUGCUCUGCUUUGGGACAAGUUGGAUCUGGACCAUGCCGACCUCUCUGAUCUUGAGGGGAGCUUCUCGUUGGCGGAGGUCAAGCAAGCCAUUGACGACAUACCUUCGGAGAAGGCUCCUGGGCCGGAUGGAUUUUCGAAUGGCUUCUACAGAUGUUGUUGGGAUACUAUCAAGGGCGACGUGAUGGACGCCUUACAUCCGCUGCACCAACUUGAUUGCAGAGGUCUCGCGCGCAUUAACAAGGCUUUCAUU
rnacentral:rRNA from 1 species